rnacentral:rRNA from 1 species
UACGAAGGGGGCUAGCGUUAUUCGGAAUCACUGGGCUUAAAGGGCGCGUAGGCGGGCAUCCAAGUCUGUGGUGAAAUCCGGCAGCUUAACUGUCGAACUGCCGUGGAUACUGGGUGUCUCGAGGGAGGUAGGGGCGUGCGGAACUAUUGGUGGAGCGGUGAAAUGCGUUGAUAUCAAUAGGAACUCCGGUGGCGAAGGCGGCACGCUGGACCUCUUCUGACGCUGAGGCGCGAAAGCCAGGGGAGCAAACGGG